rnacentral:tRNA from 1 species
GAGAGUAUAGCUCAGUGUUAGAGCAUGUGCUUAGCAUGCACGAGGUCCUGGGUUCAAUCCCCCAGUACCUCCU